rnacentral:rRNA from 1 species
UGGGGAAUAUUGGACAAUGGGCGCAAGCCUGAUCCAGCAAUGCCGCGUGUGUGAAGAAGGCCUUCGGGUUGUAAAGCACUUUUAUCAGGAGCGAAAACGCUGUCGGCUAAUACCCGGCGGAACUGACGGUACCUGAGGAAUAAGCACCGGCUAACUUCGUGCCAGCAGCCGCGGUAAUACGAAGGGUGCAAGCGUUAAUCGGAAUUACUGGGCGUAAAGCGUGCGUAGGCGGUUUCUUAAGUCUGCUGUGAAAUCCCCGGGCUCAACCUGGGAAUGGCAGUGGAUACUGGGAGGCUAGAGUGUGUCAGAGGGUGGUGGAAUUCCCGGUGUAGCGGUGAAAUGCGUAGAGAUCGGGAGGAACAUCAGUGGCGAACGGCGGCCACCUGGGACAACACUGACGCUGAGGCACGAAAGCGUGGGGAGCAAACAGGAUUAGAUACCCUGGUAGUCCACGCCCUAAAGCGAUGCGAACUGGAUGUUGGUCUCAACUCGGAGAUCAGUNUCGAAGCUAACGCGUUAAGUUCGCCGCCUGGGGAGUACGU